GACGAACGCUGGCGGCGUGCUUAACACAUGCAAGUCGAACGGAAAGGCCUGUCCUUCCUUGUGUUGGACGGGUACUCGAGUGGCGAACGGGUGAGUAACACGUGAGUGAUCUGCCCCCAACUUGGGUAUAAGCCUGGGAAACUGGGUCUAAUUCCCGAUAGGACUGCAGGGUGGUGCCUGUGGUGGAAAACGAUUUUCUAGUGGUUGGGGAUGAGCUCGCGGCCUAUCAGCUUGUUGGUGGGGUAAUGGCCUACCAAGGCGGCGACGGGUAGCCGGCCUGAGAGGGUGGACGGCCACAUUGGGACUGAGAUACGGCCCAGACUCCUACGGGAGGCAGCAGUGGGGAAUAUUGCACAAUGGGCGGAAGCCUGAUGCAGCGACGCCGCGUGGGGGAUGACGGCCUUCGGGUUGUAACCUCCUUUCGACCGCGAGGAAGCCGCCUGGUUGGAAGGGUGGUGACGGUAGUGGUAGAAGAAGCACUGGCUAACUACGUG
rnacentral:rRNA from 1 species